rnacentral:rRNA from 1 species
CCUACGGGAGGCAGCAGUGGGGAAUAUUGCACAAUGGGGGAAACCCUGAUGCAGCGACGCCGCGUGAGUGAAGAAGGAUUUCGGUUUGUAAAGUUCUUUUAUCAGGGAAGAAAAUGACGGUAUCUGACUAAUAAGCCCCGGCUAACUACGUGCCAGCAGCCGCGGUAAUACGUAGGGGGCAAGCGUUAUCCGGAUUUACUGGGGGUAAAGGGAGCGUAGACGGGAGCACAAGUCUGAUGUGAAAUGCCAGGGCUUAACCCCGGAACUGCUUUGGAAACUGUUCUGCUAGAGUGCAGGAGAGGUAAGUGGAAUUCCUAGUGUAGCGGUAAAAUGCGUAGAUAUUAGGAGGAACACUAGUGGCGAAGGCGGCCUACUGGACCGUAACUGACGUUGAGGCGCGAAAGCGUGGGGAGCAAACAGGAUUAGAUACCCUAGUAGUC